rnacentral:rRNA from 1 species
GAUGAACGCUGGCGGCGUGCCUAAUACAUGCAAGUCGAGCGAACAGACGAGGAGCUUGCUCCUCUGACGUUAGCGGCGGACGGGUGAGUAACACGUGGAUAACCUACCUAUAAGACUGGGAUAACUUCGGGAAACCGGAGCUAAUACCGGAUAAUAUAUUGAACCGCAUGGUUCAAUAGUGAAAGACGGUUUUGCUGUCACUUAUAGAUGGAUCCGCGCCGCAUUAGCUAGUUGGUAAGGUAACGGCUUACCAAGGCAACGAUGCGUAGCCGACCUGAGAGGGUGAUCGGCCACACUGGAACUGAGACACGGGCCAGACUCCUACGGGAGGCAGCAGUAGGGAAUCUUCCGCAAUGGGCGAAAGCCUGACGGAGCAACGCCGCGUGAGUGAUGAAGGUCUUCGGAUCGUAAAACUCUGUUAUUAGGGAAGAACAAAUGUGUAAGUAACUAUGCACGUCUUGACGGUACCUAAGCAGAAAGCCACGGCUAACUACG